UACGUAGGAGGCAAGCGUUGUCCGGAGUUAUUGGGCGUAAAGCGCGCGCAGGCGGUUGUCUAAGUCUGCUGUGAAAUCUCCCGGCUCAACUGGGAGGGGGCGGCGGAGACUGGGCGACUGGAGGGACCUAGAGGCCGGUGGAAUUCCCGGUGUAGUGGUGAAAUGCGUAGAGAUCGGGAGGAACACCUGUGGCGAAGGCGGCCGGCUGGGGGUACCCUGACGCUGAGGCGCGACAGCGUGGGGAGCGAACCGG
rnacentral:rRNA from 1 species